rnacentral:rRNA from 1 species
GACGAACCACACAAACGUUAUUCGGAAUUACUGGGCUUAAAGGGUGCGUAGGCGGCGCGGUAAGUCGGGUGUGAAAUCUCGGGGCUUAACUCCGAAACUGCAUUCGAUACUGCCGUGCUUGAGGACUGGAGAGGAGACUGGAAUUUACGGUGUAGCGGUGAAAUGCGUAGAUAUCGUAAGGAAGACCAGUGGCGAAGGCGGGUCUCGUGGACAGUUCCUGACGCUGAGGCACGAAGGUCAGGGGAGCAAACGGG